AUAACGACGAUAUGCUUUGGGGAGCUGUAAGUAAGCUUUAAUCCAGAGAUUUCCGAAUGGGGGAACCCAGCACGAGUUAUGUCGUGUUAUCCGCAUGUGAAUACAUAGCAUGUGAGAAGGUAGACCCGGAGAAAUGAAACAUAUUAGUACCCGGAGGAAGAGAAAGAAAAAUCAAUUCCCUGAGUAGCGGCGAGCGAAACGGGAAGAGCCCAAACCAACAAGCUUGCUUGUUGGGGUUGUAGGACACUCUUAUGGAGUGAGAAAAGAAUGAGUUAGACGAAUAACCUGGAAAGGUUAAUCAGAGAAGGUAAUAAUCCUGUAGUCGAAAACUGAUUCUCUCUUGAGUGGAUCCUGAGUACGACGGAGCACGUGAAAUUCCGUCGGACUCUGGGAGGACCAUCUCCUAAGGCUAAAUACUCUCUAGUGACCGAUAGUGAACCAGUACCGUGAGGGAAAGGUGAAAAGCACCCCGGAAGGUGAGUGAAAGAGAACUUGAAACCGUGUGCUUACAAGUAGUC
rnacentral:rRNA from 1 species